CCCCUCUGGGCUCCACGAGGGCACCUUUGCCAAGGAUGCUGCCCCCCUGCUGCACUCCACACUGAGCACCCACCGGGCUGCUGGCCAGGCAGCCGAGAAUCAGCAAAGAAACCCCGCCCUGGCGCUGACAUUCCAGUGGGGGAGACAGGCGAUUUACAAGGAGAUAAAUAGUCACAGAGUAUCCUUGCAGGUGGAGACACGCGCUGGGCAGAAAAGCAGAGUGGGAGAAGGCGUGACUGGGGCCGGGGGAGACCAAUGCCUCACUGAUAGGAUCAGGAGGCCUCUCUGGGGAGGUGACUCCUGAGCACAGUGGACAUUGAACAUGGGGUGGGAGCCAGGCCUGGAGACAUCCGGGGGAGAAUGAGUCCAAGAAGAGGGGCCUGCAAGCAAGUGAUGGGAAAUGCAGGUGGUGAGAUAGCCAGGGGCAGACUUGUCACAGUGCUGGGAGAGCACUGUCAUGGCCACCACCUUACAGACUAAGAAACAGAGGGCCCAGGAGGUUAAGAGGCUUGCCAAGACCAGCAGCCAGGAUUUGCUAGCUGAAGCCAGGCUGUCUGACUCAGAGAGAUUACUUCCCGCUAUCUCCCUAUCAUAGGACACACAUAGAUGCAUGACCUUUAUCCAAACCCUGGGGCAGCUGUGGGUGGAAAUUCAGAAGCUUCCAAUUUAAGAAUGCUCACACAGUGCAGUAUGGUAUGGUCCGUGACACCCCCGGGGGAUCUGGGACAGCACACAACAAUUAAAUAUAUUAACAUAGCAGGACACAAUUAGACAUAUUCAUAUUUCUGCAGCAAGACAUACUAAUCUUCACACUCAGAGGACCAAAAGAAGAAUUGUUAACAGCCUCAGUUCAGGUGAAGUUUGCCACCAAAUUCAGGUUAGUUACCAAAAUAACAACAAACAACUUCUGGUUUUCGGAGCCUUUAGGAUUUCCACUAAAGCUUGGGGGGCGCAGUGUUGCAACUUCUGGAAAUGUCAGCUCUGUGAAGACAGGCUGCAGAGAGGCCAGCUGGGAGCACCGUCGCCCGCAUUCGCAUCUUCGCGAGGCCCAGACCAGGAAUCGGCACAAACUUCCUCCUGGGCAAAGGAGCUCCCGGCAGCUCGGGAGCGGCCAGCACCGCGCGGGACAAGCCUGGCAAGAGGCAGUGGCGUCAUCCCCACCCAAGGUCAGGUGCAAACCCGUGGUCCGGCGGCCUCCACUUCUGCCCCAAGCAGCUUAAAGAUUCACUGAGAAUCAAAAUGCAGCAGAGAGGUUUGUUGAGCACCUACUAUGUGCCAGGGGAUUGGGAUACAUCUGUGAAGAAAACAACAAACGCCCUUGUCCUCACUGGAGAGGGAGUCAGACUUGGAUUCAAAAUAUCACAAUGUGCAAAGAUGACCCACCCUCCAACCUCGUGCUGUGUCAAGUCCGCCUCUUACACAAACCACCGUGCUGGGGAGCUCAGGCUAAGUUUGUUCUGGCUGCGUUUGAAUUCUGGCUGUCUACAGAUGAAAAC